AAAUCAAAGUUGCUAUGAAAUUUUAAAAUUUCAACGUCAAUGGAAAAUUUUUCGUUUCAAAUAAAAAAAUUUCAAUCGAGGAAUGCUGUGGAAAUUUCAAACGAAAUGAAGGAAAAAAACGAUUUUAAUCGAGCGAAAUAAGCAACAUCGAAUUGCGAAGCUGCGGAAGAAAAUCAAUUUAAAUUCAAAAUGCAAGAUAUUAAAAAUAUAUAUGAAAAUGUGCUGAAAAUGGCAACAAAAUGCUGCAGCAGAUUUCGAAUCAAGCGAAUCAACCACUGUAAAGGUAAUAAUGUAUAUUAUUAUAAAAAUACAUUUGACAGGAUUCGCGGUGUUCGACACCUUAUAACUUUUGAUCCCCAAAGGGCUUUUGACAAUUCAAAGACAUUCCACGACAGACCAGCAUAUCUCGUCUUUGCUCACGUUAAUCGAAAAGUCCGAUUUAACCUGAGCUGAGAUGAUGAAGAAGCAUCGAUUCUGUCAUGGAAGCACUUGACAAUGGUGGCAUCAACACCAUUUUCAGGAUGUCUCCUUGGCAGAUGAGAGGUUUUUUUUUUAAUUUCUAUUUAUUUCUUUUCUUUUCAGGUUUUGGCGUUAGGCACAACAGUUGGGUUUAUCAGUUGGGUAAUGUUGUAUCCUUACAAGAAGCGAGGGGUAGACAUUAACUAGCUGAUAAGCCGGAUUGUUGUGCCUGGGUACGAUUGUUGGGCUCGUCAGUUAGAGGGUGUUGUAUCCUUCCAAGAAGUGAAGGGUAGACACAAUCUGGCUGAUGAGCCCAACUUUCGUGCCCAAGGAUGAGCGAAGGGUUGAAAAAAUCUGGCUGGCAAGCCCCACUUUUGUGCCCAAGGACGAGACGGGUGAGCCCAAAGGAUGUGGUGUCUGCUUUAUAAAUUCUUCAUAACAAAUCUUGACAAUUCUUUAUAAUAAAAUUUGCUUCGAUUUGUGGCAUUUUUGUACUUCA